rnacentral:rRNA from 1 species
GGGGGAAAACACAGGGGAUUGCCUUAGUAACUGCGAGUGAAGCGGCAAAAGCUCAAAUUUGAAAUCUGGCAUCUUUUGGUGUCUGAGUUGUAAUUUAGAGGGGCAUUUUCAAGGUUAGCACUAUUCUAAGUUCUUUGGAACAGGACAUCAUAGAGGGUGAGAAUCCCGUGUCUGGGUAGUUGUCUGAUUCUUAUGUGAAGUGUCUCCGACGAGUCGAGUUGUUUGGGAAUGCAGCUCAAAAUGGGUGGUAAAUUUCAUCUAAAGCUAAAUAUUGGCGAGAGACCGAUAGCGCACAAGUAGAGUGAUCGAAAGAUGAAAAGCACUUUGAAAAGAGAGUUAAAAAGUACGUGAAAUUGUUGAAAGGGAAGCACUUGCGACCAGAUUCAAACUUUGGGAGUCAUCUGGGUUUCGGCCUGGUGGUUAUUCCUAUUGAUUGGGCCAGUAUCGGUUUUAGUGGUAGGAUAAAAAGUGAGGAAAUGUGGCUUUCAUUUUUUUGAGAGUGUUAUAGUCCUUAUUAUAAUACUGCCUACUGGGACCGAGGACCGCGUUCUUCUGAACUAGGAUACUGGCAUAAUGGUUUUAAGUGACCCGUCUUGAAACACGGACCAAGGAGUCUAACAUCUAUGCGAGUAUUUGGGUGGAAAACCCUUGUGCGUAAUGAAAGUAAAUGGAGGUGGGAACCAUGUAAAAACGGUGCACCAUCGACCAGUCCUGAUGUUUUUAUACGGAAGGAUCUGAGUAAGAGCAUAGCUGUUGGGACCCGAAAGAUGGUGAACUAUGCCUGAAUAGGGUGAAGCCAGAGGAAACUCUGGUGGAGGCUCGCAGCGGUUCUGACGUGCAAAUCGAUCGUCAAAUUUGGGUAUAGGGGCGAAAGACUAAUCGAACCAUCUAGUAACUGGUUCCUGCCGAAGUUUCCCUCAGGAAAUUUUUUUUUUUUCUUUUUUUUUUGUUGUGUGCUUCUGUUGUGUGCGGUGUCUUAGAGUGCGGACUAUGUUAGUG